GGAGAGGAGUGUUUGUGUUAAAGUCCACUAUGCACUAUGAUGUGACGCCAAGGCAAUCAUUGACACACCACAAUCCUUCAUAAUUUUCUAAUGAGCAAAAGAUAUCAUUUAAAAGCAGAAGGGGGAAUAUGUACAACAUAUCAAACUUUGUUAUCUGAAAAAAAAUGAAACCAGUUAAGCAUUAUCUAUGCCAAGACUUUGAACCAUCUAUAAUAACCAGCCAAAAGCCCUCCGUUUUCAUCCCUUCGAACCAACAAAAAAUCAGUAUGAAAGAUCAAGUUAAGAAUCUGUUCUUAUCUAUACAAGAUCAUACACCUUCCCAAGGCUGCAACUCCCUUCAACCAAACCAGACACUACCUGGCAAAUCACCUUACUGAUUACUAAUUCAUGUUAAUGAAUAAUGGUUCACCUCAUAUCUCAAUCAGUAAGCAGAAAUGCUAAAAUGUCUCCAUAGAGUAAUGACAAGUUUCUCAAACACACCAACUUCAAAAAAGGAUACAGGUAAAUAGAAACAAGUUAAUGAAGUAGUG
rnacentral:misc_RNA from 1 species